rnacentral:pre_miRNA from 1 species
UACAUCUUUGAAGGGAAGGAAUGAAACAAUGGUGAUAAAAAUAGUUUCCCGCAACAAAGAGAACUUGUCCUUUUUUGUUCCUUCUUAUCUAAUCCCUGACAAUGAUAAAAAAAAACAGGAACAAAAACAAGGAUAAAUUCUCUUUGUUGAAAAAGAAACUAUUGUUUCAUUCCUUCCCUUCAAAGAUAC